rnacentral:lncRNA from 1 species
UUGAAGCCAGAAAGGAGAGAGAAAGGAUGAAGCAUGAAAUGAAAUGAGCAGUAUGAGAGGAGGAGCGAGGUGUGGGUGGGGAGUGGCUGAGCCGUGGGCACGGUCUGAUCGCAUCCGCAGUGGUAACACAGCCCAUCACCGCCAUAACGCAAAGGCAGCCUUAUCCACGCGCUCCAUCAUCUGCAAAUUCCCUCAUCGAAUCUUUACCCUCACGCCAGCAUGAUUAGUAGCUCUCAUUAGUUUUACACAUAUAAUAUGAGGCUGGGUCAUUUGUUCGGUUGUCCCAGCUGGUAGGUGACAGAACCAGCCUGUUAUCUGAUCCCAGAGCCCCAUCACUGGAUGGAGCUAGUUCUCUUCUGUGACCAGCCCUCAGCCAGUAGGAUUUCCAGGUAAGCCUGCAUUAGCCUUUCAGUGUGGCUUUGCCCCACACACACACACACACACACACACACACACACACACACACACACACACACACAGUGCCUUUGAGGUCAAGGGCAACUCAGGUUUUUGGUCUAUUGGGAUCCUGCAUCUUUAUCUUAGAACAGCUCUGCCUGGAACAAGAGUCCAAUGGAUGAAAGGCAGAGUAAACUCAGGUCUUCACACAGUCUGAUGUCUCUCCCAAGCCCUGGUAUGGGUGCUCAGGUAAUCUCUACUGCUGAGCAGAAAGUCUUAGGGGUGAGUUACUGUUUUAAUUAAGACAUGGCCUUUCUGUGCUGGGGAUGUCGCUUAUCUAGUAGAGCGUUUGCCUAGUAUUCAUGAAAGCCUUGGGUUUGAUCUUCAGAAGAUCAUGAAUGGGGCACUGUAAUACACACCCGAGAUCUCAGCUUUAAGGAGGUAGAGGCAGGAAGGUCAAAGUUCAAGUCCAUUCUUAGCUACACAGGAGUUCACUGCCAGCCUGAGCUACAUGAGACCUUAUCCUUUAAAGAAUAUUUUAAUGCAUUUUUAUUUUUUAACAGAUAUGACUUUUUUGCCCCUGUGUGCAUAUGUCUGUGCAAUACAUAUGCCUGGUGCCCUUGGAGGCCUCAAGAAGGUAUAGCAUCCCUUGGACUUAGAGGACAGUUAUGAGCUGUCAUGUGGGUGCUGGGAAUCAAAUUUGAGUCCUUAGCCAGGGUGGGUGUGGCUGUUCACACCUUUAAUCCUAGGCAGAGGCAGGCAGAUCUCUGAUUUUGAGGCCAGUCUGGUCUACAGAGUGAGUUCCAGGACAGCCAGGGCUACACAGAGAAACCCUGUCUCAAACAAGCAAACCAGUCCUCUGAAGGGCCACAAGUCCCCCUAAUGGCUGAACCACCUCUCCAGCCCCCAUAACAAAACAAACAGCAGAGAGCAGGGGUGUUUAUGUGUUGACCUGGUCUCCUGGGCUCAAGCAAUCUUUCUCCCUGGUAGCUGGAACUACAGGCAGAAGCCAUUAUGUCUGGCUCAUGGUAUGAAUUAUUAACUGUCAGACAUGACUGCCAUGGCACCAAUCAUACCAAUAGAUAUAAAGAUGCCAU